rnacentral:rRNA from 1 species
CCUACGGGAGGCAGCAGUGAGGAAUAUUGGUCAAUGGGCGAGCGCCUGAACCAGCCAAGUCGCGUGAGGGAAGACGGUCCUAUGGAUUGUAAACCUCUUUUGCCGGGGAGCAAAAAGCGGUACGUGUACCGCAUCGAGAGUACCCGGAGAAAAAGCAUCGGCUAACUCCGUGCCAGCAGCCGCGGUAAUACGGAGGAUGCGAGCGUUAUCCGGAUUUAUUGGGUUUAAAGGGUGCGCAGGCGGCGAGUCAAGUCAGCGGUAAAAUUGCGGGGCUCAACCCCGACAAGCCGUUGAAACUGGCGUGCUAGAGUGGGCGAGAAGUAUGCGGAAUGCGUGGUGUAGCGGUGAAAUGCAUAGAUAGCACGCAGAACUCCGAUUGCGAAGGCAGCAUACCGGCGCCCAACUGACGCUCAGGCACGAAAGCGUGGGUAUCGAACAGGAUUAGAUACCCGUGUAGUC